GACCCGAGAGCACCCCCUAGUCGUAACCGGCGUACUCGACCUCUCGGAGGUCUAAUACAAGCCUCUUAGCAUUCAUUCAUCGCAUAAAACUAAAAACCAUAAUGAAUUAAAAACUUUCUUUACAAAGAAGACAUUUCAUUAAAACAGUAAGCGGAAGACUUCUAGACUUUAUACACUUAUGUCUCAAACCAUCUAAUACUUUGAAUACAACAUUGGGAU
rnacentral:lncRNA from 1 species